GGCUGGUCUGAGUGCCGUGGUGUCUACAACUAAUUGAUCACAACCAAUUACAAUUCCUUUGUUCCUUCUCCACUCCCACUGCUUCACUUGAAUAGUCUUAA
rnacentral:Y_RNA from 1 species